rnacentral:sRNA from 1 species
AUGGCAGCCCUUCCCCAUCUGUAAUAUCCAAAGCCACUGAGAAAGAGACUUUCACUGAUAGUAACCAAAGCAAAACUAAAAAGCCAGGCAUUUCUGAUGUAACUGAUUACUCAGACCGUGGAGAUUCAGACAUGGAUGAAGCCACUUACUCCAGCAGUCAGGAUCAUCAAACACCAAAACAGGAAUCUUCCUCUUCAGUGAAUACAUCCAACAAAAUGAAUUUUAAAACUUUUUCUUCAUCACCUCCUAAGCCUGGAGAUAUCUUUGAGGUUGAACUGGCUAAAAAUGAUAACAGCUUGGGGAUAAGUGUCACGGUACUGUUUGACAAGGGAGGUGUGAAUACGAGUGUCAGACAUGGUGGCAUUUAUGUGAAAGCUGUUAUUCCCCAGGGAGCAGCAGAGUCUGAUGGUAGAAUUCACAAAGGUGAUCGCGUCCUAGCUGUCAAUGGAGUUAGUCUAGAAGGAGCCACCCAUAAGCAAGCUGUGGAAACACUGAGAAAUACAGGACAGGUAACAGAUCAUUAUACCAACCUUUUACAGUACCUUAGAAGAGCAAAACAAUGUGUGAAUAACAUCAGUUCUCAUUGAGAUCUCUAAAUUUGUCAGCUAAUCAAGAAACCAAGCCUGAUAUAUAUAACCAUCUGGG